GUACAGAGGUCUCAAGCGUUGUUCGGAUUCAUUGGGCGGUAAAGGGUGCGUAGGCGGCGCGGUAAGUCGGGUGUGAAAUCUUGGAGCUUAACUCCGAAACUGCAUUCGAUACUGCCGUGCUUGAGGACUGGAGAGGAGACUGGAAUUUACGGUGAGCGGUGAAAUGCGUAGAUAUCGUAAGGAAGACCAGUGGCGAAGGCGGGUCUCUGGACAGUUCCUGACGCUGAGGCACGAAGGUCAGGGGAGCAAACGGG
rnacentral:rRNA from 1 species